rnacentral:rRNA from 1 species
GAAAAGAAAAUCCUCCGAACGAUUAUAACAUAGACCAACAAGUCAAAGUAACCUACUUUCCAAUUGACCCAAAACUAUUUGAUCAACGGACCAAGUUACCCUAGGGAUAACAGCGCAAUCCUAUUUAAGAGUCCAUAUCGAUAAUAGGGUUUACGACCUCGAUGUUGGAUCAGGACAUCCCAAUGGUGCAGAAGCUAUUAAUGGUUCGUUUGUUCAACGAUUAAAGUCCUACGUGAUCUGAGUUCAGACCGGAGAA